UUGAAAUAAAUAAAGAAGACCAAAGAAAAACUGUCUCAACAUUUUGAUUGUGGGGCUUGUUGGAAUAUGACUAUUGGGUUAAGAGAGAGAGAGAAAAGUGUGGAACUCAUUGUUUUUGCCUUGAUGUGGAAAGGUCUUCGGUGUUUGAAGGAAGGGAUUUAAACGAAUAUAACCGGUUGUUUCAACAAGUAUCAAUCCUUCAA
rnacentral:ribozyme from 14 species